UACAUGCAAGUCGAGCGAACAGAAGGGAGCUUGCUCCCGGAUGUUAGCGGCGGACGGGUGAGUAACACGUGGGUAACCUGCCUGUAAGACUGGGAUAACUCCGGGAAACCGGAGCUAAUACCGGAUAGUUCCUUGAACCGCAUGGUUCAAGGAUGAAAGACGGUUUCGGCUGUCACUUACAGAUGGACCCGCGGCGCAUUAGCUAGUUGGUGGGGUAAUGGCUCACCAAGGCGACGAUGCGUAGCCGACCUGAGAGGGUGAUCGGCCACACUGGGACUGAGACACGGCCCAGACUCCUACGGGAGGCAGCAGUAGGGAAUCUUCCGCAAUGGACGAAAGUCUGACGGAGCAACGCCGCGUGAGUGAUGAAGGUUUUCGGAUCGUAAAGCUCUGUUGUUAGGGAAGAACAAGUGCGAGAGUAACUGCUCGCACCUUGACGGUACCUAACCAGAAAGCCACGGCUAACUACGUGCCAGCAGCCGCGGUAAUACGUAGGUGGCAAGCGUUGUCCGGAAUUAUUGGGCGUAAAGGGCUCGCAGGCGGUUUCUUAAGUCUGAUGUGAAAGCCCCCGGCUCAACCGGGGAGGGUCAUUGGAAACUGGGAAACUUGAGUGCAGAAGAGGAGAGUGGAAUUCCACGUGUAGCGGUGAAAUGCGUAGAGAUGUGGAGGAACACCAGUGGCGAAGGCGACUCUCUGGUCUGUAACUGACGCUGA
rnacentral:rRNA from 2 species